rnacentral:rRNA from 1 species
AGGGUUUGAUUAUGGCUCAGGAUGAACGCUGGCGGCGUGCUUAACACAUGCAAGUCGAACGAAGCAUUUAAGACAGAUUUUUUCGGAAUGAAGUUUUUUAUGACUGAGUGGCGGACGGGUGAGUAACGCGUGGGUAACCUGCCUCACACAGGGGGAUAGCAGUUGGAAACGACUGGUAAUACCGCAUAAGCGCACAGCUUCGCAUGAAGCGGUGUGAAAAACUCCGGUGGUGUGAGAUGGACCCGCGUCUGAUUAGGUAGUUGGUGAGGUAACGGCCCACCAAGCCGACGAUCAGUAGCCGACCUGAGAGGGUGACCGGCCACAUUGGGACUGAGACACGGCCCAG